rnacentral:rRNA from 1 species
GACGAACGCUGGCGGCGUGCUUAACACAUGCAAGUCGAACGGAAAGGCCCUGCUUUUGUGGGGUGCUCGAGUGGCGAACGGGUGAGUAACACGUGAGUAACCUGCCCUUGACUUUGGGAUAACUUCAGGAAACUGGGGCUAAUACCGGAUAGGAGCUCCUGCUGCAUGGUGGGGGUUGGAAAGUUUCGGCGGUUGGGGAUGGACUCGCGGCUUAUCAGCUUGUUGGUGGGGUAGUGGCUUACCAAGGCUUUGAGGGGUAGCCGGCCUGAGAGGGUGACCGGCGACAUUGGGACUGAGAUACGGCGCAGACGCCGACGGGAGGCAGCAGUGGGGAAUAUUGCACAAUGGGCGGAAGCCUGAUGGAGCAACGCCGCGUGCGGGAUGACGGCCUUCGGGUUGUAAACCGCUUUCGCCUGUGACGAAGCGUGAGUGACGGUAAUGGGUAAAGAAGCACCGGCUAACUACGUG